CCCAGAGAAGGCGUAGCGGCGGGGGUGAGUACACGUGGGUAACCUGCCUGUAAGACUGGGAUAACUCCGGGAAACCGGAGCUAAUACCGGAUAGUUCCUUGAACCGCAUGGUUCAAGGAUGAAAGACGGUUUCGGCUGUCACUUACAGAUGGACCCGCGGCGCAUUAGCUAGUUGGUGAGGUAACGGCUCACCAAGGCGACGAUGCGUAGCCGACCUGAGAGGGUGAUCGGCCACACUGGGACUGAGACACGGCCCAGACUCCUACGGGAGGCAGCAGUAGGGAAUCUUCCGCAAUGGACGAAAGUCUGACGGAGCAACGCCGCGUGAGUGAUGAAGGUUUUCGGAUCGUAAAGCUCUGUUGUUAGGGAAGAACAAGUGCAAGAGUAACUGCUUGCACCUUGACGGUACCUAACCAGAAAGCCACGGCUAACUACGUGCCAGCAGCCGCGGUAAUACGUAGGUGGCAAGCGUUGUCCGGAAUUAUUGGGCGUAAAGGGCUCGCAGGCGGUUUCUUAAGUCUGAUGUGAAAGCCCCCGGCUCAACCGGGGAGGGUCAUUG
rnacentral:rRNA from 1 species